UUCCUCCCCACUAGACGCUAUUACGUUCAAAAUCUAAAGACAUGUCACACAUUGACGCGGUUUAUAACAAGCACGCGAAUUUCCUCCGCCCCCUUAACAUGAUCUAUAUAGGGACGAAAUUAAAAUUCAUAUUAUUACUAUCCACACUUAAGCAGUAUCGGUAAAAGUCGUAACCGGUGAUCGAAUGAUAUAAAAAUAUGUCGA